rnacentral:lncRNA from 1 species
UUUACAUCUUUGCAUUAUACAAUAACUGCAUUAGUUACACAAAACCAUAUAUACCUGUCAGUAUACCAACAUCGCGAAGCCGUAAUGACAUGUUUGACUGAUGUCCUGGUAAUUGCUUUGGUCACUGUAUGGUCAGUGUCAGGACAAACAGCACGGACAUCUAGGACAAUACGGAAAGUAGCAUGUAUUCCUCACAAGAACACUCGUCAUUCUGUUUAUAAUUAUGCUAUGCCUGACGUUCAUGGCUGCAAAACUGUAGAUUUCUCGCGUUACCGUG